CGGUGGAUGAUGUGGUUUAAUUCGAUGCAACGCGAAAACCUUACCCACCUUUGACAUGUACGGAAUCCUCUAGAGAUAGAGGAGUGCUCGAAAGAGAGCCGUAACACAGGUGCUGCAUGGCUGUCGUCAGCUCGUGUCGUGAGAUGUUGGGUUAAGUCCCGCAACGAGCGCAACCCUUGUCAUUAGUUGCUACGAAAGGGCACUCUAAUGAGACUGCCGGUGACAAACCGGAGGAAGGUGGGGAUGACGUCAAGUCCUCAUGGCCCUUAUGGGUAGGGCUUCACACGUCAUACAAUGGUCGGUACGAGAAGGGUUGCCAACCCGCGAGGGGGAGCUAAUCCCACAAAGCCGAUCGUAGUCCGGAUCGCAGUCUGCAACUCGACUGCGUGAAGUCGGAAUCGCUAGUAAUCGUGGAUCAGCAUGUCACGGUGAAUACGUUCCCGGGUCUU
rnacentral:rRNA from 1 species